UCUCAUGGAUGAACAAAGAAGUGGUUCCCUGAGAUGGAAUCUAUGCUUGGUGAAGAUGCUGGGAA
rnacentral:pre_miRNA from 1 species